CAGUAUUUGGGUGAUCUUCAACCUUUUUUACAACUGUGCCUUGUGUGACUGUCAGCAGCCAUUUUCCACUUUUACUGUACUUGUGUCAAUCUCAUGACAGACCUCUGCACUUCCCUUUUUAGCCAAUCAGAAUAAAUUUUUAUAUGUCACGUUUCACGCCUCUUUGCAGUCCGAGAAAAGUGGAGAAUCAGGAAAACUAAGCAAUUCUGAAUCUAAGGACCAGGCCAAACUCACAUACAAAUGGCUUCCUAAACAAGAAGAAGUGCAGAAAGAAGAAAGCAAGCGAGCCAGUCGCCGUAAGGCAGAGUCUCCAACAUCGGAUGCAAGAAUACANG